GACGAACGCUGGCGGCGUGCUUAACACAUGCAAGUCGAACGGAAAGGCCCUGCUUUUGUGGGGUGCUCGAGUGGCGAACGGGUGAGUAACACGUGAGUAACCUGCCCUUGACUUUGGGAUAACUUCAGGAAACUGGGGCUAAUACCGGAUAGGAGCUCCUGCUGCAUGGUGGGGGUUGGAAAGUUUCGGCGGUUGGGGAUGGACUCGCGGCUUAUCAGCUUGUUGGUGGGGUAGUGGCUUACCAAGGCUUGGCGGGUAGCCGGCCUGAGAGGGUGACCGGCCACAUUGGGACUGAGAUACGGCCCAGACUCCUACGGGAGGCAGCAGUGGGGAAUAUUGCACAAUGGGCGGAAGCCUGAUGCAGCAACGCCGCGUGCGGGAUGACGGCCUUCGGGUUGUAAACCGCUUUCGCCUGUGACGAAGCGUGAGUGACGGUAAUGGGUAAAGAAGCACCGGCUAACUACGUG
rnacentral:rRNA from 1 species